rnacentral:rRNA from 1 species
UGAACGCUGGCGGUAGGCCUAACACAUGCAAGUCGAACGGCAGCACAGUAAGAGCUUGCUCUUACGGGUGGCGAGUGGCGGACGGGUGAGGAAUACAUCGGAAUCUACUUUUUCGUGGGGGAUAACGUAGGGAAACUUACGCUAAUACCGCAUACGACCUACGGGUGAAAGCAGGGGAUCUUCGGACCUUGCGCGAUUGAAUGAGCCGAUGUCGGAUUAGCUAGUUGGCGGGGUAAAGGCCCACCAAGGCGACGAUCCGUAGCGGGUCUGAGAGGAUGAUCAGCCACACUGGAACUGAGACACGGUCCAGACUCCUACGGGAGGCAGCAGUGGGGAAUAUUGGACAAUGGGCGCAAGCCUGAUCCAGCCAUACCGCGUGGGUGAAGAAGGCCUUCGGGUUGUAAAGCCCUUUUGUUGGGAAAGAAAAGCAGCAGGUUAAUACCCCGCUGUUCUGACGGUACCCAAAGAAUAAGCACCGGCUAACUUCGUG